rnacentral:rRNA from 1 species
AUUGAACGCUGGCGGCAGGCCUAACACAUGCAAGUCGAGCGGAUGAAGGGAGCUUGCUCCUGGAUUCAGCGGCGGACGGGUGAGUAAUGCCUAGGAAUCUGCCUGGUAGUGGGGGAUAACGUCCGGAAACGGGCGCUAAUACCGCAUACGUCCUGAGGGAGAAAGUGGGGGAUCUUCGGACCUCACGCUAUCAGAUGAGCCUAGGUCGGAUUAGCUAGUUGGUGGGGUAAAGGCCUACCAAGGCGACGAUCCGUAACUGGUCUGAGAGGAGGAUCAGUCACACUGGAACUGGAACACGGUCCAGAGUCCUACGGGAGGCAGCAGUGGGGAAUAGUGGGCAAUGGGCGAGAGCCUGAUCCAGCGAUGCGGCGUGUGUGAAGAAGGUCUUCGGAUUGUAAAGCACUUUAAGGUGGGAGGAAGGGCAGUAAGUUAAUACCUUGCUGUUUUGACGUUACCAACAGAAUAAGCACCGGCUAACUUCGUG